rfam:Otolemur garnettii contig075732, whole genome shotgun sequence.
GGGCCUGUGGCUCAAAGGGAUAGGGCACUGGCCCUAUAUGCCGGAGGUGGCAGGUUCAAACCCAGCCCCGGCCA